AACGCAAAUGGCACUCUAUGGUAUUCCGUAGAGUACGUCUGUUUGAGCGUCGCGAACAUCUCCACAAUUAGUUUUUUUUAAUUAGUUGAGGGUUUUGAGGUUGUCAUAUAAACAAUGACUCCCUUUAAAAUAAUUAGUGAUGACCUUAUGAAUGGGUUAAUACUGUGUGUUAUAAUGGAUUACAUCCAUCACCAGUCAGAGAGUAAUCUCGCCUUAGUAAUUUGUAGUGAUUGCUUCUAACUGCCAUUGGCAAACAAACUGAUCAAAUCGACCUCAAAUCAGAUGGGAUUACCCGCUGAACUUAA
rnacentral:misc_RNA from 2 species